CCUACGGGCGGCAGCAGUGGGGGAUAUUGCACAAUGGGGGAAACCCUGAUGCCGCGACGCCGCGUGGGUGAAGAAGCGCCUCGGCGCGUAAAGCCCUGUCAGCAGGGAAGAAAAUGACGGUACCUGAAGAAGAAGCCCCGGCUAACUACGUGCCAGCAGCCGCGGUAAUACGUAGGGGGCAAGCGUGAUCCGGAUUUACUGGGUGUAAAGGGGGCGCAGACGGCGAUGCAAGCCAGGAGUGAAAGCCCGGGGCCCAACCCCGGGACUGCUCGUGGAACUGCGUGGCUAGAGUGCAGGAGGGGCAGGCGGAAUUCCUGGUGUAGCGGUGAAAUGCGUAGAUAGCAGGAGGAACACCGGUGGCGAAGGCGGCCUGCUGGACUGCAACUGACGUUGAGGCCCGAAAGCGUGGGGAGCAAACAGGAUUAGAUACCCGUGUAGUC
rnacentral:rRNA from 1 species